rnacentral:ncRNA from 1 species
CAUCGUGAGGUGGAAUCUGAAAGAAAGUGCAGGCAAACCUCUGGCCUGAGGCAUACGAAUCGCAUGAAGCAGUCUGAAGCAUGGCAAGUGUGCUGAACAGCACAAACCCAAUAGCUUGGCGGGAAGAAACUGAGGAAUGCAAAUACGGCAGAUGUAUGGAGGGAAGGAUG